GAUUCAUUUUAGAAAUAAAAAGUCAAACAGCUAAUUAAUGAUAAAAUUUAUACUUAAUUUCUUAGCUAAAGUACAGAAUACAAUUCACAACUGUGAUUAAUUAGUUUGAAUAUUAUGAUAGGCUUAUGUUUGAAAAGUCCGCUUUGUUUUCUUAACUCUUUGAUUAUCAUUUAUCCGGACAAAAGUAACCUUUUAAUCUCUUAAUCUUGCAAAAGCAGCAUUUUACCAGUUAAACUAGAAUCUCGUCUGACCAACUGUUACUCUUUGGAUGCAAAAUGGACAUCAAAACCAUUGAAUCACUACAAGUUGGAAUGAAUCAUGCAUUUACUCUUUGGACAAUGGAUUGAAUGACUAAACCACUCAAAUGGAGCAUUACUCAGACACUAUCGACCAUUUUGAUCUUGAAUAAUCUUUAAAUAUUUCCGAGUUUUCAAGUAACUUUAGUCCUUUGGUCAUCUUUAAAUUGUACAAAACAAAAAACUGUAACCUUAAUCAUUAAUCCAAACUUUAACCUUCUCUGGAUACGAUAUUAAAUGAUUGUUAAAUCUUCAGAGUCUCUAAGGAUGGGCUUGUGCAGUGAAAAGGAGUAACAACAAACAAAAUGACUACACUGAGCACCAUAAGUAACCCAAACACAUGAUAAGCCAGAAGAAGGAGAGGAAAAAAGGAAUAUUUCAUGCUGCAUUUGUUCAAUAAUUUCUCGUCUGUAUUAUCAGGGAAGAGCAAAUGUAAAAUCAUGGCUAUUUCCAUAUUUCAAUUGAUCUCUUCAAUUUAAUUGAAUUUCCUUGAAAUGUUGCGACUUUCAAGUUUCUCAUUU